rnacentral:rRNA from 1 species
GUUUGAUCCUGGCUCAGGAUGAACGCUGGCGGCGUGCCUAACACAUGCAAGUCGAACGGGUGCGCGGGGCGGAAGAUUUCGGUCGGAAGCCCGGCGCAUGAGUGGCGGACGGGUGAGUAACGCGUGGGCAACCUGCCCUGUACAGGGGGAUAACACCUGGAAACAGGUGCUAAUACCGCAUAACGGGGGCGGCCGCAUGGCCGCCUCCUGAAAACUCCGGUGGUACAGGAUGGGCCCGCGUCUGAUUAGCCAGUUGGCAGGGUAGCGGCCUACCAAAGCGACGAUCAGUAGCCGGCCUGAGAGGGCGGACGGCCACACUGGGACUGAGACACGGCCCAGACUCCUACGGGAGGCAGCAGUGGGGAAUUUUGCGCAAUGCUCGUAAGAGUGACGCAGCGACGCCGCGUGAAUGACGAAGGCCUUCGGGUCGUAAAGUUCUUUCGACAGGGAAGAAAAUGCCUAUAAGUAACUGUGUAUGUAUUGACGGUACCUGUAUAAGCAGCCCCGGCUAACUCCGUGCCAGCAGCCGCGGUAAUACGGAGGGGGCGAGCGUUGUUCGGAGUGACUGGGCGUAAAGAGCACGUAGGCGGUGUUGUAAGUCAUUAGUCAAAGACUAGAGCUCAACUUUAGUAAGGCUAGUGAUACUAUAAUACUAGAGUAUCAGAGAGGAUUGCAGAAUUCCUGGUGUAGCGGUGAAAUGCGUAGAUAUCAGGAGGAAUACCGUUAGCGAAGGCGGCAAUCUGGCUGGAAACUGACGCUGAGGUGCGAAAGCGUGGGUAGCAAACAGGAUUAGAUACCCUGGUAGUCCACGCU